GUUGCUUUGAUAGAACAUAUACUAAAAAUUGUACAUUUCAGAGAAGAUUAGCAUGGUCCCUGCAUAAGGAUGACACGUAAAUUCAUGAAGUAUAAAAUGCUUAG